UGGGGAAUAUUGCACAAUGGGCGGAAGCCUGAUGCAGCGACGCCGCGUGAGGGAUGACGGCCUUCGGGUUGUAAACCUCUUUCAGCAGGGAAGAAGCGUGAGUGACGGUACCUGCAGAAGAAGCACCGGCUAACUACGUGCCAGCAGCCGCGGUAAUACGUAGGGUGCGAGCGUUGUCCGGAAUUAUUGGGCGUAAAGAGCUCGUAGGCGGCUUGUUGCGUCGGAUGUGAAAGCCCGGGGCUUAACUCCGGGUCGGCAUUCGAUACGGGCAGGCUAGAGUUCGGUAGGGGAGAUCGGAAUUCCUGGUGUAGCGGUGAAAUGCGCAGAUAUCAGGAGGAACACCGGUGGCGAAGGCGGAUCUCUGGGCCGAUACUGACGCUGAGGAGCGAAAGCGUGGGGAGCGAACA
rnacentral:rRNA from 1 species